CUCCUAAGGCUAAAUACUCUCUAGUGACCGAUAGUGAACCAGUACCGUGAGGGAAAGGUGAAAAGCACCCCGGAAGGGGAGUGAAAUAGAACCUGAAACCGUGUGCUUACAAGUAGUCAGAGCCCGUUAAUGGGUGAUGGCGUGCCUUUUGUAGAAUGAACCGGCGAGUUACGAUUUGAUGCAAGGUUAAGCAGUAAAUGUGGAGCCGUAGCGAAAGCGAGUCUGAAUAGGGCGUUUAGUAUUUGGUCGUAGACCCGAAACCAGGUGAUCUACCCUUGGUCAGGUUGAAGUUCAGGUAACACUGAAUGGAGGACCGAACCGACUUACGUUGAAAAGUGAGCGGAUGAACUGAGGGUAGCGGAGAAAUUCCAAUCGAACCUGGAGAUAGCUGGUUCUCUCCGAAAUAGCUUUAGGGCUAGCCUCAAGUGAUGAUUAUUGGAGGUAGAGCACUGUUUGGACGAGGGGCCCCUCUCGGGUUACCGAAUUCAGACAAACUCCGAAUGCCAAUUAAUUUAACUUGGGAGUCAGAACAUGGGUGAUAAGGUCCGUGUUCGAAAGGGAAACAGCCCAGACCACCAGCUAAGGUCCCAAAAUAUAUGUUAAGUGGAAAAGGAUGUGGCGUUGCCCAGACAACUAGGAUGUUGGCUUAGAAGCAGCCAUCAUUUAAAGAGUGCGUAAUAGCUCACUAGUCGAGUGACACUGCGCCGAAAAUGUACCGGGGCUAAACAUAUUACCGA
rnacentral:rRNA from 1 species